rnacentral:rRNA from 1 species
UACGUAGGGCGCAAGCGUUGUCCGGAAUUAUUGGGCGUAAAGAGCUCGUAGGCGGCUUGUCACGUCGGGUGUGAAAGCCCGGGGCUUAACCCCGGGUCUGCAUUCGAUACGGGCUAGCUAGAGUGUGGUAGGGGAGAUCGGAAUUCCUGGUGUAGCGGUGAAAUGCGCAGAUAUCAGGAGGAACACCGGUGGCGAAGGCGGAUCUCUGGGCCAUUACUGACGCUGAGGAGCGAAAGCGUGGGGAGCGAACGG